AUGCCGGCAGCAUCCCUCUCGAGAAACUUCGAUGCCUUUAGCCUCCAGAGCAUGGGGGAUGUUGCCAACCUGCAGCGCACCCGAGCUCUGGAGACCCAGAGCCUGUCCAUGCAGCUCUGCUGGCAGGAGACUCAGCCUUGGGGCUCUUUAAACUUGGACGGCACCUCCCAGGGUGGGAGCUGUGGAGCCUCUGAGCCCUGGAAGACCCCAUGGAUCAUCAGCCUCUCAGUCACCUACUUCUGCAUGCGAGAAUCAGUGGUCAAGAUGAGCUUCUGGGCAGCCGUAGCACUGAUGAAAGGCAUUAGGGACGGCACCUUGUGCCGGGCACAGCGUUGAAACUUCACUCCAGCCAGCUUUCUGGCAGAGGACACGACUGAUUUCUCUGAUGAGCUGGACAUAUCCUUCUUUGCCCAGGAAGGUAUCCUCCAUGAAGAGCUGUCCACAUACCUGGACAAAGUUUUCGAGUCCCCAUCAGAGGCAGCACUCAAGGACUGGGAGAAGGCACCGGAGCAGGAGGACCUCACAAGCAGGGCCCUGGACCGCAGUGAGCUUGAGCACAGCCACCUGAUGCUGCUUCUGGAGCGAGGCUAGCAGAAGCAGGAGGGCGCUACAGCCUCCCAGCUCAAAGUGCGGCUCCGACAGGAGGUGGUGAGCACCGCGGGGCCGCGGCGGGGCCAGCGCAUCGCUGUGCCAGUGUGCAAGUUCUUCGCCCGGGAGAAGCAGCUGUAUGGGCUGAGCAUGGUGGGACAGCUCACCAGCUGCACCUACCACAAGCACAUCGACAGUUCCGUCAGGCGACAGAUUGAGGACGUGGACAACCACAGGCCCUUCUUCACCUACUGGCUCACCUUCAUGCACUCGCUUGUCACCGUUCUAGCCGGGUGCAUCUAUGGCAUCAUGCCCGUGGGCUUCUCGCAACAUGAAAUGGUGGACUCGGUGCUAUGGAACCAUGGGGUCUAUGAGAGCAUCAAGUACAUGCAGCAGGAGAAUUUCUGGAUCGGGCCCAGCUCGGAGGCCCUCAUCCACCUGGGCGCCAAGUUUUCGCCCUGCAUGUGCCAGGAUCCACAGGUGCACAGCUUCAUUCUCUCAGGGUGCGGGCCUGCGUGUGAGAAGCACUCGGCCUGCUGCGUGCACAAUGACAGGUCGGGCUGCCUGCAGACCUCGGAGGAGGAGUGCUCGUCCACGCUGGCAGUGUGGGUGACGUGGCCCAUCCAUCCCAGCGCCCCAGAGCUUGCCAGCCACAAGAGACAGUUUGGCUCUGUCUGCCACCAGGAUCCCAGGGUAAGUGAUGAGCCCUCCUGGGAAGACCCCCAUGAAUGGCCAGAAGACAUCACCAAGUGGCCGAUCUGCACCAAAAACAGCGCCAGGAACCACACCAACCUUCUUCACAUGGACGGUGUCAUCACAGGGUGGUCCUGCUGCGUUGGCACCAAGGGCAAGUGUGAGAUCACCUCUCGGGAGUCCUGCGACUUCAUGAUGGGCUAUUUCCAUGAGGAGGCCACGCUCUGCUCUCAGGUGCACUGCAUGGAUGAUGUGUGUGGGCUCCUGCCUUUCCUGAACCCUGAGGUGCCUGACCAGUUCUACCGCCUGUGGCUGUCCCUCUUCUGCACACCAGGAUCCUGCACUGCCUGGUGUCUAUCUGCUUCCAAAUGACAGUCCUGCAGGACCUGGAGAAGCUGGCAGGGUGACACCACAUAGCCUCAUCUAGCUGCUGAGUGGUGUCGCUGGCAACCUGGCCAGUGCCAUCUUCCUGCUGUACCAAGAAGUGGUGAUUCCGCCUGGCUCCCAGUUUGGCAUCCUGCCCUGACUCUUCGUGGGGCUCUUCCAGAGCUGGCAGAUCCUGGAGCGGCCCUGGCAUGCCUUCUUCAAGCUGCUGGCUGUGGUGCUCUUCCUCUUCAUCUUUGGGCUGCUGCCCUGGAUCGACAACUUUGCCCACACCUCGGAGUUCAUCAGUGGCCUCUUCCUCUCCUUCGCCUUCUAGCCCUCAUCAGCUUCGGCAAGUUCCAUCUGUACCAGAAAUGCUGCCAGAUCAUCAUCUUUCAGGUGGUCUUCCUGGGCCUCCUGGCUGGCCUGGUGGUCCUCUUCUACUUCUAUCCUGUCCGCUGUGAGUGGUGUGAGUUCCUCACUUGCAUCCCCUUCAUUGACAAGUUCUUCAAGAAGUAUGAACUGGACGCUCAGCUCCACCGAGCUGGCUGUGGGCUCCAGGGACCAUGCGCUCCAGCAGGCCAGAGCCAGACACGACAACCCUGA